rnacentral:rRNA from 1 species
UACGAAGGGGGCUAGCGUUGUUCGGAUUUACUGGGCGUAAAGCGCACGUAGGCGGAUUGUUAAGUGAGGGGUGAAAUCCCAGGGCUCAACCCUGGAACUGCCUUUCAUACUGGCAACCUCGAGUCCGGAAGAGGUGAGUGGAACUCCUAGUGUAGAGGUGGAAUUCGUAGAUAUUAGGAAGAACACCAGUGGCGAAGGCGGCUCACUGGUCCGGUACUGACGCUGAGGUGCGAAAGCGUGGGGAGCAAACAGG